GGCGUCUCCUGGCUGUGGUGCACAUCAAGACAUCUGGUCUUCCUCCUGUCUCAUGGCAACAUCUGCUCCUCAUUGUCGCCACUGGAGGGGCCCCUUGGGCAAGAAGGACCAGGUCUUGGUCCUGAUAAGGGAAUGUGAGCGAGAGAAGAGGAAAUCCUGCAGAACGUACCCUGGGCUGCUCAGAGCCCGGAACAAGAUCCCAUGGAGCGGGCAGCUGAAACAGCGAGGUUCAUCUUCCUCAGCUCUGGAGGCUGGUCGGCCACGAUCAGGGUGUCAUGGGUUUGAGAGGUCCCCCUUCUCUCUGUGUGCUCACAGGGCCUUUCCUUGAUGUGUGAGCCCGGAGAGGAAGCCAGCCCUUGGGGGGCAGAGGGGCUCAUGUAUGACCUCACCCAACCCUAAUCACUUCCCAAAGGCCUCCUUUCCAAAUACUGUCAACACUGGGCCUCAACAUAGGGCCUCACUAUAUGAA